GAAGUGCACAUUCAGUGGGGCAGGACCAGGAGGAGGUGCGCACUCAGUGGGGCAGGACCAGGAGGUGGUGCACACUCAGUGUGGGCAGGACCAGGAGGAGGUGCACACUCAGUUGGGGCAGGACCAGGAGGAGGUGCACACUCAGUGUGGGCAGGACCAGGAGGAGGUGCACACUCAGUGUGGGCAGGACCAGGAGGAGGUGCACACUCAGUGGGGCAGGACCAGGAGGAGAUGCACACUCAAUGGGGCAGGACCAGGAGGAGGUGCACACUCAGUGGGGCAGGACCAGGAGGAGGUGCACACUCAAUGUGGGCAGGAGGUGGCAACCUUGUUA